rnacentral:rRNA from 1 species
GAUCAUGGCUCAGAUUGAACGCUGGCGGCAUGCCUUACACAUGCAAGUCGAACGGCAGCGGACCUUCGGGUGCCGGCGAGUGGCGAACGGGUGAGUAAUAUAUCGGAACGUACCUUUCAGUGGGGAUAACGUAGCGAAAGUUACGCUAAUACCGCAUAUUCUGUGAGCAGGAAAGCAGGGGAUCGCAAGACCUUGCGCUGAUUGAGCGGCCGAUAUCAGAUUAGCUAGUUGGUGAGGUAAAGGCUCACCAAGGCGACGAUCUGUAGCGGGUCUGAGAGGAUGAUCCGCCACACUGGAACUGAGACACGGUCCAGACUCCUACGGGAGGCAGCAGUGGGGAAUUUUGGACAAUGGGCGCAAGCCUGAUCCAGCCAUGCCGCGUGAGUGAAGAAGUAUUUCGGUAUGUAAAGCUCUAUCAGCAGGGAAGAUAAUGACGGUACCUGACUAAGAAGCCCCGGCUAACUACGUG